rnacentral:lncRNA from 1 species
CGCCUUUAGGUGUUUUAUUUUAUUUAACAUUUCGUCCAUAGGUCCUUGGUCCAAAUUUUUUCUCCAAGGCGUGUUUUGCUCUCAUUUUGCAUUGGAUCCCUUUAUUACAUAUUUUUGUCUUUUCUCUGAGAAAUUUGAUUUUUAGUUGUAUUUAAUGCCCCUCCUAUUGCACUCUCCAAUCAGUCAGUAAAACGUUGCAGAUUACAAACACGAAAUUACUUCUCUCCUACAGUUUUGGAUCAAAUCUCACCUUUUUUUUCAAAAUUUGGGAGAAAUUGUUAGGUAUGAUUCAAAACUGUAUCAGAGAUGAAUAUUUUUUCGUGUUUGUAAUAAUUGCUGCUGCUGAAUUCUGAAGCCUUCUUUGACUUAUUUGGACAGUGCAAUAAAUUGGAUUUUAAAUACCACUAAAAAUUAGGGUUUCUCUGAUAAAGAUAAAAGACCAAAAUAUCCCUCAAGGGAUCUAAUGCAAAAUGGCAGCAAGUUUGGACCAAAGACCAAUAGUAUAGUGACACAUGGACAUAAAGAAUGAGAUCAAAGACUAAGACUAAAAUAAAACGGCUUAAAAGAAAAUAAAACAAAAAAUGAAAUAUAAUUUAUAGUUAAAUAAUAAAAAACGAAAAUACAAAAUAAAACCUUGACGACCUGCCAAAGGAAAAUACUUGGAUGACAUUGGUAACCUAAUUCUUUUAACUUUCCUAGGGUUGAGAAAACUACCAAACUCCCAUGGAUAACACACUCAAAUCGUUGGUCCAUCUAUUUUAAACCAUUAAUUUAAGAAAGGAAUAAACCUUAAUCAAAUAUAUGCACAAUAUUCGAAAAAAAAAAGGCUCAUAGACAACACAACAGUAUAAAACCCUAGUUUGACUAACAUACAGACAAAAAUUGCCUUAAUCCAAAUCCAUGCAUACAGAACCUUAAAAGGUAAAAAAAUCGUUGAAAUGUUCAAAACCCUAAUCAAA